rnacentral:rRNA from 1 species
AACGAACGCUGGCGGCAUGCCUAACACAUGCAAGUCGAACGAAACCUUCGGGUCUAGUGGCGCACGGCUGCGUACCGCGUGGUAACCUGCCCGUAGGUUCGCAAUAACUCCCCGAGAGGGAUGCUAAUACAAGUUAAUGUCUUCGGACCAAAGAUUUUUCGCCUUUGGAUGGGCCCGCGUUGGAUUCGCGAGUUGGUAGUGUAAUAGCCUACCAUGGCGACGAUCCAUAGCUGGUGGGAUAGGAUGAUCCGCCACACUGGGACUGCGACACGGCCCAGACUCGUACGGGAGGCAGGAGAGGGGAAUAUUGGAGAAUGGGCGAAAGCCUGAUACAGCAAUGUGGCGUGAGUGAUGAAGGCGUUAGGGUUGUAAAGCUCUUUUACCCGGGAUGAUAAUGACAGUACCGGGAGAAUAAGCACCGGCUAACUCCGUG